AAAACUAUACUUUCAGGGAUCAUUUCUAUAGUUUGUUACUAGAGAAGUUCCUCUGAAUGUGUAGGGCACCCGAAACCAUGAGGAGGAUAUGAAGCAUUCUUUCCUGAGCGUGAAGUUGGCUUUAGGUGUUGCAUUUGCAACUGCCUUUUGCCAUUGAUGAUCGUUCUUGCUCUCUCCUGAGAGUAAGAGGGAGUUUAUGCAUUCUGAGUGGA
rfam:Erinaceus europaeus unplaced genomic scaffold scaffold01238, whole genome shotgun sequence